rnacentral:rRNA from 1 species
AGAGUUUGAUCCUGGCUCAGAUUGAACGCUGGCGGCAUGCCUUACACAUGCAAGUCGAACGGCAGCACGGAGCUUGCUCUGGUGGCGAGUGGCGAACGGGUGAGUAAUAUAUCGGAACGUACCCUAGAGUGGGGGAUAACGUAGCGAAAGUUACGCUAAUACCGCAUACGAUCUACGGAUGAAAGUGGGGGAUCGCAAGACCUCAUGCUCAUGGAGCGGCCGAUAUCUGAUUAGCUAGUUGGUAGGGUAAAAGCCUACCAAGGCAUCGAUCAGUAGCUGGUCUGAGAGGACGACCAGCCACACUGGAACUGAGACACGGUCCAGACUCCUACGGGAGGCAGCAGUGGGGAAUUUUGGACAAUGGGCGAAAGCCUGAUCCAGCAAUGCCGCGUGAGUGAAGAAGGCCUUCGGGUUGUAAAGCUCUUUUGUCAGGGAAGAAACGGUUGUCUCUAAUACAGAUAGCUAAUGACGGUACCUGAAGAAUAAGCACCGGCUAACUACGUGCCAGCAGCCGCGGUAAUACGUAGGGUGCAAGCGUUAAUCGGAAUUACUGGGCGUAAAGCGUGCGCAGGCGGGUUAUGUAAGACAGAUGUGAAAUGCCCGGGCUUAACCUGGGAACUGCAUUUGUGACUGCAUGGCUAGAGUUUGGCAGAGGGGGGUAGAAUUCCACGUGUAGCAGUGAAAUGCGUAGAUAUGUGGAGGAACACCGAUGGCGAAGGCAGCCCCCUGGGUCAAGACUGACGCUCAUGCACGAAAGCGUGGGGAGCAAACAGGAUUAGAUACCCUGGUAGUCCACGCCCUAAACGAUGUCUACUAGUUGUCGGGCCUUAAUUGACUUGGUAACGCAGCUAACGCGUGAAGUAGACCGCCUGGGGAGUACGGUCGCAAGAUUAAAACUCAAAGGAAUUGACGGGGACCCGCACAAGCGGUGGAUGAUGUGGAUUAAUUCGAUGCAACGCGAAAAACCUUACCUACCCUUGACAUGGCUGGAAUCCCUGAGAGAUUGGGGAGUGCUCGAAAGAGAACCAGUACACAGGUGCUGCAUGGCUGUCGUCAGCUCGUG